CGUGCCAGCAGCCGCGGUAAUACGUAGGGUGCAAGCGUUAAUCGGAAUUACUGGGCGUAAAGCGCACGCAGGCGGUUUGUUAAGUCAGAUGUGAAAUCCCCGGGCUCAACCUGGGAACUGCAUUUGAAACUGGCAAGCUAGAGUCUCGUAGAGGGGGGUAGAAUUCCAGGUGUAGCGGUGAAAUGCGUAGAGAUCUGGAGGAAUACCGGUGGCGAAGGCGGCCCCCUGGACGAAGACUGACGCUCAGGUGCGAAAGCGUGGGG
rnacentral:rRNA from 1 species